rnacentral:misc_RNA from 1 species
CAUUACAGAGUUCAUGCCCUUCGGGGUAGAUCUCCCACCCGUGUUAUCAUACCAUUGUUGCUUUGGCGGGCCCGCCUCGGCCACCGGCUCCGGCUGGUGAGCGCCCGCCAGAGGACCCCAAACUCUGAAAUUUAGUGUCGUCUGAGUACUAUAUAAUAGUUAAAACUUUCAACAACGGAUCUCUUGGUUCUGGCAUCGAUGAAGAACGCAGCGAAAUGCGAUAAGUAAUGUGAAUUGCAGAAUUCAGUGAAUCAUCGAAUCUUUGAACGCACAUUGCGCCCCUUGGUAUUCCGGGGGGCAUGCCUGUUCGAGCGUCAUUACAACCCUCAAGCUCUGCUUGGUAUUGGGCGUCCCCGGCAACGGGGUGCCCUAAAAUCAGUGGCGGUGCCGUCUGGCUCUAAGCGUAGUAAAUCUCUCGCUCUGGAUGCCCGGUGGAUGCUCGCCAGUAACCCCCAAUUUU